GUACUGGGGUGGGGGGAGACACCCCGGCGUCCCAGAAGGCAUGCAGCCAGGAGCUCUUCUCAAGCCAGGAGGAAAGUAGCCAGUCAUAGCAGCUGGAACUUGGUGAAGGAGAAGCAGAGGAGCGGGUUCCCGUGUCCUUGAAUACCCCACUGGCUGGAUUAGAGACUGCUGAAAGGCUACAAAACCUGAGAAAGAAUCCACGAAAAAGCAAAGAAGAUAUGGUGAAAGCAGUUAUGAAUCAGUCUGCCAGAGACAGUAAAAAACUCCAGGACUGGAGGG